GGCGCUGCUCCUGCUCUGCUGCUUCCUGGCCUCGCUGCUGCUUUCAGGACAAGCAGAACUGCAAGUCUCUGCUUCGGGUGGCACGGAAGAUGUUGGCAAUUUGUUGGAGAAUCAUUUCUCUGCUGGAGACGCAAGUCUAGAGGAGAAAGAAAGGGCGCUUUAUGCAGAUGCGGCCCCUGGAGACAAGAACCUACUCCUUCACUACCCAGACGGCAGGGAGGCUGAGAGCUUCGAGCAGCCUCCUGCAGGGGCCCCUUCCACUGCCAACGGCCAGGGCUCCGAAUCCGAAGCUAGCCUGUCCAAUUCCUCAGCUGCAGAGUCAGCUCCACCCGGGGAUGUCGAAGGGCCCGGGGAGGAAGAGGAGGGCCCACAUGCAGCA
rnacentral:lncRNA from 1 species